CCCCAAAGUUCAGGACAGGUAGAAAGGAU
rnacentral:piRNA from 2 species